rnacentral:rRNA from 1 species
GAUCCUGGCUCAGGAUGAACGCUGGCGGCGUGCCUAACACAUGCAAGUCGAACGAAGCUUGACGGAUGAUUUCUUCGGAAUGAAACCAGAUAUGACUUAGUGGCGGACGGGUGGGUAACACGUGAGCAACCUGCCUUUCAGAGGGGGAGUAACGGCUGGAAACGGUCGCUAAUACCGCAUGACGUGUUCGGAUGGCAUCAUCUGAACAUCAAAGAUUUAUCGCUGAAAGAAUGGGCG